UCCGCCCCCAGCUCGCCGCGCCGGAGGUGAGCAGGAAGGAGACGGCCGCCCAGCAGCCCGUGGGCCGGCGGCAGGGUGAACAGAGCCGGCGGCGGGCGCUGAGGAACGCGGAGGCCUCCGGCGGGAGCCGGCCUGGGGUUCCAGGGGGCUGAGCACGCGCGAGAUGAGGCGGUUCCUGAGGCCUGGACACGACCCUGCCAGGGAGCGGCUCAAGCGGGACCUCUUCCAGUUUAACAAGACAGUGGAGCAUGGCUUUCCGCACCAGCCCAGCGCCCUCGGCUACAGCCCCUCUCUGCGCAUCCUGGCCAUCGGGACCCGCUCUGGAGCCGUCAAGCUCUAUGGUGCCCCAGGGGUGGAGUUCAUGGGGCUGCACCGCGAGAACAACGCCGUGGUGCAAAUCCACUUCCUGCCUGGCCAGUGCCAGCUGGUCACCCUGCUGGACGACAACAGUCUGCACCUGUGGAGCCUAAAGGUCAAAGGCGGGGUGUCGGAGCUGCAGGAAGAUGAGAGUUUCACGCUGCGUGGACCCCCAGGGGCUGCCCCCAGCGCCACGCAGAUCACCGAGCUCCUGCCCCAUUCCUCCCGCGAGCUGCUCUACCUGGGCACCGAGAGCGGCAGCGUGUUCGUGGUGCAGCUGCCGGCCUUCCGCAGCCUGGAGGACCGGACCAUCAGCUCGGACGCCGUGCUGCAGCGGUUGCCAGAGGAGGCCCGCCAGCGGCGGGUGUUUGAGAUGGUGGAGGCUCUGCAGGAGCACCCGCGGGACCCCAACCAGAUCCUCAUCGGCUACAGCCGCGGCCUCAUCGUCAUCUGGGACCUGCACGGCAGCCGCGUGCUCUGUCAUUUCCUCAGCAGCCAGCAACUGGAGAACGUUUGCUGGCAGCGGGACGGCCGUCUGAUUGUCAGCUGCCACUCCGACGGCAGCUACUGCCAGUGGCCCGUGUCCGGCGACAGCCAGCAACCGGAGCCCCUGCACAGCUGUGUGCCUUACGGUCCUUUUCCUUGCAAAGCUAUUACCAAAAUCUUCUGGCUGACCACCAGGCAAGGGUCGACCUUCACCAUCUUCCAGGGCGGCAUGCCACGGGCCAGCUAUGGGGACCGCCACUGCAUCUCAGUGGUCCACGACGGCCAGCAGACGGCCUUCGACUUCACCUCCCGCAUCAUUGACUUUACGGUCCUCGUGGAGGCAGACCCUGCGGCCUUUGAUGACCCCUACGCCCUGGUGGUGCUGGCCGAGGAGGAGCUGGUGGUGAUUGACCUGCAGACGCCGGGUUGGCCGCCGGUCCAGCCUCCCUACCUGGCCUCCCUGCACUGCUCGGCCAUCACCUGCUCCCACCACGUCUCCAACAUCCCCCUGAAGCUGUGGGAGCGGAUCAUUGCCGCCGGCAGCCGGCAGAACACACAUUUCUCCACCAUGGAGUGGCCCAUUGACGGUGGCACCAGCCUGGCCCCGGCCCCGCCCCAGAGGGACCUGCUGCUCACGGGGCACGAGGAUGGCACCGUGCGGUUCUGGGACGCCUCGGGCGUCUGCCUGCGGCUGCUGUACAAACUCAGCACCGUCCGGGUGUUCCUCACCGACACAGACCCCAGCGGGAGCCUCAAUGCCCAGGGCGAGGACGAAUGGCCCCCGCUCCGCAAGGUGGGCUCUUUCGACCCUACAGUGAUGAUCCUCGGCUGGGCAUCCAGAAGAUUUUCCUCUGCAAAUACAGCGGCUACCUGGCUGUGGCCGGCACAGCAGGGCAGGUGCUGGUGCUGGAGUUGAACGACGAGGAGGCGGAGCACGCGGUGGAGCAGGUGGAGGCCGACCUGCUGCAGGACCAGGAGGGCUACCGCUGGAAGGGACACGAGCGCCUGUGCGCCCGCCCGGGGCCCGUGCACUUCGAGCCCGGCUUCCAGCCCUUCGUGUUGGUGCAGUGCCAGCCCCCAGCCGUGGUCACCUCCUUGGCCCUGCACUCCGAGUGGCGGCUCGUGGCCUUUGGCACCAGCCACGGCUUCGGCCUCUUUGACCACCAGCAGCGGCGGCAGGUCUUUGUCAAGUGCACGCUGCAUCCCAGCGACCAGCUCGCCCUGGAGGGCCCACUGUCCCGCGUGAAGUCGCUAAAGAAGUCCCUGCGCCAGUCCUUCCGCCGGAUACGGCGCAGCCGGGUGUCCAGCAGGAAGCGGCGGCCCGCCGGCCCUCCCGGAGAGGGGCAGGAGGGGAGCACCAGGGCAGAGCGGACUGGCCUGCAGAACAUGGAGCUGGCACCGGUGCAGCGCAAGAUCGAGGCCCGCUCGGCGGAGGACUCGUUCACGGGCUUCGUCCGGACCCUCUACUUCGCGGACACCUACCUGAGGGACAGUGAGUGGCCGGCAUGCGGGCGUGCUGGAGGCUGCUGCCUGCUGGCCAGUGUGACCCUAGGAGGGAGGGGUGUCCCCUUGUGAGCCGGGGCGGGUGGCGGGGGACGGGACGGUGCCCCCCGGCCUGGCUCUUUCCCUCCUCUGGCUGGAUCUCCGAGUCCGGGCGCCCUGGCUUUGUAGCCAGGCUCCACCACUUUCGAGAAGCGUGACCUUGGACAUGUCACUGAGCCUUUCUGGGUCUCAGCCUCUCCCCCUGUAAAAUGGGAGAAUGGCUUCCUCCUAGAGUGUCUGUGAGGGUUGGGACAUGCCACGGGCCUGCUGGUACCCAAGAGGCCCUAGCGAGACUCCCUGGCUCUUUCUCCCCUGCUGCCCUCCUGCCAGUCUGCUGCUGCAUCUCAAGGGCUGAGCUGUCCUGGGUUCGGGAUCGUCUACCUGGGGCCCUGGGUGGUCGGAGAGCCUUUCCCGUCGACACCCAGCAGGUAGCCAGGGCCCACAGCAGCUCCACUUGACAGAGGGAGAGGUCGAGGCUUGCAGAGUUUGCUGGCUUGACCUUGGAGUCAGAGACGUAGUGAGCGGCAAGGCCAGGAAGCAAGCUGAGGUCCCCUGGCUCCCCUGACCCCCAGAGCCAAGGCUUAGAUGUAAAGCUUUACCUCCUGGCAGGCUCCCGCCACUGCCCCUCGCUCUGGGCGGGCACCAAUGGUGGUACUGUCUACGCCUUUGCCCUGCGGGUGCCCCCUGCCGAACGGAGAAUGGAUGAGCUGGUGCGAGCAGAGCAGGCCAAGGAGAUCCAGCUGAUGCACCGAGCGCCCGUGGUGGGCAUCCUGGUGCUGGAUGGACACAGUGUGCCCCUUCCCGAGCCCCUGGAAGUGGCUCACGACCUGUCAAAGAGCCCGGACAUGCAAGGAAGCCACCAGCUGCUCGUGGUGUCGGAGGAGCAGUUUAAGGUGUUCACGCUGCCCAAGGUCAGCGCCAGGCUGAAGCUGAAGCUGACCGCCCUGGAGGGCUCGCGGGUGCGGCGGGUCAGCGCAGCCCGCUUCGGCAGCUGUCGAGCCGAGGACUACGGGGAGCACCACCUGGCCGUCCUCACCAACCUGGGCGACGUCCAGGUGGUCUCGCUGCCCCUGCUCAAGCCCCAGGUGCGUUACAGCUGCAUCCGCCGGGAGGACGUCAGCGGCAUCGCCUCGUGCGUCUUCACCAAAUAUGGCCAAGGUUUCUACCUGAUCUCACCCUCCGAGUUUGAGCGCUUCUCUCUCUCCACCAAGUGGCUGGUUGAGCCCCGGUGUCUGGUGGAUUCAGCAGAACCGAAGAACCACGGCCGGCCCCGCAACGGAUCGGGCCCUGAGACGGCCUUGAGCCAAGCCAGGAACUCAGGGAGCCAGAGUGACGGAGACGAGAGGAGGUCUGGCCCAGUCAUGGAACACGCGCUGCUCAAUGAUGAGAGGGUCCUGAAGGAGAUCCAGAGCACCUUGGAGGGAGCCCGGGGGAGCUCUGGCGAUUGGCAUUCGCAGCGAGUGGCCGUGGCGUACAGCCUCAGCAAUGGGGGAGCGGAGUGAGCCGGACGCGCAUCCAGGCUGCACAAUGAACACACACUACUGAGGGCUCUUCUCAGGCACUGGGCCGUGCGGGGGCCGGGGGCUCCCCCAGUUUCCACCCUGCUGCUGCUCCUGGCCUCGGGAGAAGAGGGACCCUGGGCCCCGGGGGCUGUCCCUCCCCGGGGCCUCGACUGUCUCAGUCCUUUCUCAAUGUUGCACAGUUUUUAACCCCUCCGCCCCCUUUUUUUGUAGUAGGCUGGAUUUUAAAUUAUAAAUGUAAACUGCCUCCGGGCGAAAAAGAGUUUUUAAUAAACACCUUAUUACCUCUUCACUGGACUGGCCCAAGGACUUUAAUUUUUAAAUUGUGCAGAGAUUUUUCCACGGAAAUAGAAAUGACCCUUAGCUGGUCCCUCGCCUUUGGCCCUGGGGUCCGUCCCCUGGCCCAGGCUGGUGCUCAGGAGAAUCUGUUUGGUUUUUUAAGCUAUUUGAAUCAGAUCAAACUGUGUUUGGUUGUGUCUGAACACUAUAUGCCUUUUCUCUCUUUGGGAAUAAAUGAUAAAACAGUGAACCGAA